UUUCUGAAUACAGGUCUUUUACCUCUUUGGUUAGGUUUAUUCCUAGGUAUUUUAUUUUUCUUUUUGCUAUUUCAAAUGGGAUUUUUUUUCUUGAUUUCUGCUUCUGCUGAUUCACUAUUGGUAUACAGAAAUGCCUGUGAUUUCUGGUAUUGA